CACUCUCACCCUACCCAAGUCCCGGUCUCGGCCUCGGCCCCGCCGACUUCCCCCGACGGUGAAACUUUGUAAAGCGACUUAGUCAAAGUUUAAUAAAUUCCUUCGAGGAAGUUUCAAAGCGGUUCUACGCGGGAUUGCAAAUGAUUACGUUUCGUCGUGCUAGAGAAUAUGCGAAGAUGGGAGGAAUCGGUAUGUAAGGCCGACAGAAGCAGAGAAAUCUAUGUGUCGAACGAAGGGACGAACAAGGACAAGGAGAGAGGCUCACUCACGUAACAAACACAAUUGACUCGGUGAUAGUGACCAGAAAAUGGCCGCCACGACGCAAACAAAUGAGCAAGUCCAACCAUUCCCAUGGCAACAAUCUCAAUCAGAUAGGAGCUAGCGGAGCAGAGAACAGAGAACACGCCGGAUAAUAUAUUCGAUACAGUCCGAUCAAAGGCUAUUCAUAUAUAUCUUUGCCAUCGAUGACUUGCAUGUUAGCAGCAAAUCGAAAAAAGGGAGCGAACAGUGCGAGAAACCGGUUACCAUUGUUACAGCGUCGUCGCUACCACGACAGAGUCAUCGACUACGAAUACUUGAGAUACUUUUAUUGUCAUGAACUAAACCUUAUUUUGUGUAUAUGCAUAUGUGUGGCGUGUGUGUGUGUGUACAUUGUAGCAAUGUUAUAGAGAGAAUGCUAUAGAAUUAUUAUUUCAAAAACUACCUCUUGUCCCUUCUUUCGGAUGAGUAAACUCUGAAGAAAAAGCUAAAAGAUUUCAGGAGAAGAUAAAAAUCAAAUUAAAAAUAUGAUCAAACUCGCUUCUAUAUAUUCCUUUGAAGGCAAAAUAUCUGUCUAUUUUAGGAUCAAAUAAAAUAAUUAUAAAGCAUAACGCAAAAUCAAUGUUCGAAUAAUGCAUUUAAUGCUGGAUAAAAUACAAG